rnacentral:misc_RNA from 1 species
UAAUUUUGAAGAGAGCAAUGUAGAUGAAACAUGAUAUUAUUGUUGUUCAUUCCUAGAUCUUUUCUUAGAGGUUGGAGUUGUCUAUUUCUCCAUCAAAACAAUUACUGGAUAUUGACAAGUUCUUUAGGAGAGGACACUUAUCUUUUUAAUUUUUAUUAUAGGUAACAUUGUUGGUCGUGUUAAUUGAUUCUGCAUGGAGAAGUGGGAAAAUUUUUCCUCAUAAUUGGUGGAAAGUGCAUAUUUAUGCCCUAAUAGAAAACUAAUGAAAGGAGUUUGAAUAAAUUGAUCAAGAAAAGUUGGACAAACACUCAAAGUGCUUCGUUGGAUGGUAGUCUUUGGUAUGGGUUUAUGCUGGGCUUGAUCAUGUAAAACGUGAAAUACUUGAGCAUGAAAUGAGCCUCAUCUUUUCCUUUUUUGUGGUUAAUUACUUAUAUGCCAUAGUUAUCCCAUUUGUUCAGUGAACCUUAUGGAGAGAAAUGAAUCUUAUAUUUUUGACGACUGACAAUAAGAGUACUAGAUCUGUGUUACUUAGCUACCACACCAUAAACAUUAUGUUGCUGUGAAUAGUUUUCUUUCUUCCACUUCCCUUUCUCUCUUUUCACGUCAGCAAAUAGAUUAAAUUUUAACUGUCGCAGACCUGAUUAUCUUUCAAUGCAUUUGGAACUGUAACUGAACCCUUUUGUAUACAAGUGAGUAGAAGCAAAUUUGCACUUUGUCAUUACUGGUUGAAAUAUUCUUAAUGGUGCUGUGGUGUUGCUCCUAAGAGUAACAGAGGGGUGUCCUUGGGGGAUAUCUAACCAGAUUGGGGAGUUUUAUUCUAUUCCGUUCAUCUUCUCUUUUUCUUCU